UACCACAGAUUCAUACUUUCUACCUGGAGCACAGGAUAGAGAGAACAGAGAGCUGGCAAUUACCCGACUUCUUCCUAUAUAUACUGCAACCCAUGGCCAGCUCCUCACCGCUGUACUCCAUUCUGAAGGUUGUCUUAGGGCCAAGCUUGAGACGUGGCUGAGCGGAGAACAAAGUCAAUCGUUCCUGCCCAAACCCUUCCACGAGGCCGGGCUCCUCCUCUCCGCCUAAACAAUCUUUGAAGCCAAUCAAAGGGUUUUUUAUUGUGCUGCGUGGAAUUGGACCGCAGCGCAGCAUCGUGGGAAACGUGUACGUGUUGCAUGCUUGGCGAGGCAACCGUGUCUGAAACACAU